UGGCUUAGUUGGUAGAGCAUGGUGUUUGCAACGCCAGGGUUGUGGGUUCCAUUCUCAC
rnacentral:tRNA from 1 species